AAAUAAAAAAAAUACGCGGCGUGCGAGUGGGGUUAUCUCGAGGUUCGGUCGGAACAACACCGACAACAACAACAACAACAAACAACAACAACAACAACAAUAAUAAUUUAUAUCGCGCGACACUGCGGUAUAUUAUCACACGCGGUACCUGCACGUCGCGAAAUAAAAAUUAUAUCCGCCCGAGUGCGGGAGAAACACAAAAUUAUACUGCAGUCGGCCUAUCCGCAGUGUAACGAUAUUUAUAUUAUUAUACGAAUUAUCACGUUAAUAUUUUGCGUUCGGUUUGACCUCGGGUACAUUAUUAUUAUUAUUAUCAUCCGUACAGCAGUGCCGUGUAAUAUUUUACGCGCUUUGACCGCGGUUC